rnacentral:rRNA from 1 species
AACGAACGCUGGCGGCAUGCCUAACACAUGCAAGUCGAACGAGACCUUCGGGUCUAGUGGCGCACGGGUGCGUAACGCGUGGGAACCUGCCCUUAGGUUCGGAAUAACUCCCCGAAAGGGGUGCUAAUACCGGAUAAUGUCUUCGGACCAAAGAUUUAUCGCCUUUGGCUGGGCCCGCGUUGGAUUAGCUAGUUGGUAGGGUAAAAGCCUACCAAGGCGACGAUCCAUAGCUGGUCUGAGAGGAUGAUCAGCCACACUGGGACUGAGACACGGCCCAGACUCCUACGGGAGGCAGCAGUGGGGAAUAUUGGACAAUGGGGGAAAGCCUGAUCCAGCAAUGCCGCGUGAGUGAUGAAGGCCUUAGGGUUGUAAAGCUCUUUUACCCGGGAUGAUAAUGACAGUACCGGGAGAAUAAGCUCCGGCUAACUCCGUG